rnacentral:rRNA from 1 species
GACGAACGCUGGCGGCGUGCUUAACACAUGCAAGUCGAACGGAAAGGCCCUGCUUGCAGGGUGCUCGAGUAGCGAACGGGUGAGUAACACGUGGGUGAUCUGCCCCUUACUUUGGGAUAAGCCUGGGAAACUGGGUCUAAUACUGGAUAGGGCCAUGCUGUAGGUGGUGUGGUGGAAAGAUUAGUUUCGGUAAGGGAUGAGCUCGCGGCCUAUCAGCUUGUUGGUGGGGUAAUGGCCUACCAAGGCGUCGACGGGUAGCCGGCCUGAGAGGGUGGACGGCCACAUUGGGACUGAGAUACGGCCCAGACUCCUACGGGAGGCAGCAGUGGGGAAUAUUGCACAAUGGGCGCAAGCCUGAUGCAGCGACGCCGCGUGGGGGAUGACGGCCUUCGGGUUGUAAACUCCUUUCAGCCAUGACGAAGCCCUUGUGGUGACGGUAGUGGUAGAAGAAGCACCGGCUAACUACGUG